rnacentral:rRNA from 1 species
CCUACGGGUGGCAGCAGUGGGGAAUUUUGGACAAUGGGCGCAAGCCUGAUCCAGCUAUUCCGCGUGUGGGAUGAAGGCCCUCGGGUUGUAAACCACUUUUGUAGAGAACGAAAAGACACCUUUUAAUAAAGGGUGUUGCUGACGGUACUCUAAGAAUAAGCACCGGCUAACUACGUGCCAGCAGCCGCGGUAAUACGUAGGGUGCAAGCGUUAAUCGGAAUUACUGGGCGUAAAGGGUGCGCAGGCGGUUGAGUAAGACAGAUGUGAAAUCCCCGAGCUUAACUCGGGAAUGGCAUAUGUGACUGCUCGACUAGAGUGUGUCAGAGGGAGGUGGAAUUCCACGUGUAGCAGUGAAAUGCGUAGAUAUGUGGAAGAACACCGAUGGCGAAGGCAGCCUCCUGGGACAUAACUGACGCUCAGGCACGAAAGCGUGGGGAGCAAACAGGAUUAGAUACCCUUGUAGUC